CCGGCAGCGGGCUGCACGAAUCAUCUCCAUCAACACCUGCUGCUCCCCCACGCACCGAAGAAAUCAAGAACCAAGGAACGCGAGCACGACGACCACCUGCAACAUCCUCCCCUUCUCCAAGUGCUGCUGCCCUCUCCUUUGGUUAAAUCCCCACCGAACUCUCUCUCUCUCUCUCCUACUUGUUGCUUGCUGUUUGUGUGUACAAGAACUGAGAAAGAACAUGCUGUUGAUCUUUGGAAAGUUAGCUGAGCCUUGCACUGUGUUAAACUCUCUCUUUAGCUUCUGGCCGAUGUGUGCACUUAAUUAUUGUUCUAUGUUAUAAUCUACUCUGAUAUUUGUGAAUGUGGCUGUGUGUAUACUUGUUGAUGUGUUUCGUGCAAUUUUCUAUCCCUAUCUAAAAACUUGCUUCUUCCCAGUCUUAUAUGUUUGCUGGUGAAAUUACUUUCUGUCAAUAUUGUUCUUUGUCUUUGCUUCUGCCCCUGUCUUUGAUGUAUGCUUGUCUUAGUGUUUUAGAUUCUAAAGUAAAUUGAAAAUACCAAAAAAAUAUUGCAGUCAUUCUGUACCUUGAAUCUCAUAAUUGUUUCUAUCCUUAUCUUGGAUAAUUGCUUGUGAUGUUUCGUGGUAGAUGAUCUUGUCUUGCUUUAUAGUGGGAAAUCUUCUCUUUGUUUGUUUUAAAUGCCAAAAUCCUUUCUUGUGAUCUAGCUUUAACCGAACAUUGUUGUCGCUGCCUAGUGCCUGUGGAGAAUCUCAACAAAAACUACUAUAUUUGCAUUGAUCAAAUUGGCGCCGUUGCCGGGGACUAGCAGCGAGCGAUUGUGUUAGGUUAUAGACUAGGUGUUUUUCCCCUUGUUUAGUAACCCCUAUUCUAGGUGUUUCUCUGUUUUCUAUUUGUUUCUUGUCAUAUUUAACAGGUUAUAUUAUCAUCUUGGUCAUGUCAUACUAUUCAGAUUAUUAUGGAUAUGCGAGCAGUAGCGGCAACAACAUAACAAGUCUUCAAGAUAAGAUAAAUGAGUUGUCUGGUCAGAAGCAAAUGUUAUCAAGUAAAAUAGAACAACACAAUUUGCAGCAAGGAAAUGGUCUUCAGGGAGGCCCUGCUAUUUUGAUCCUUAUUCUGUAGGCCAUCCCCAUACUUAUGUUGCUCCUGAAUGUCAUAUUUGUGGAUAUCAAGGUCAUAUUCCCGUCGAGUGUCAGCUGGGUAAAUCUUUCACCCCAAAUUGUUAUGAUAUGGGUUUUACUCCACAGCAUGAUCUGUACCACAACAAUUACCCCCUAGUGGGCUUGAUAACCCAAAUAUUACAUUUAGGAACAGCAGCCCUGAGGACUCAUCUUUUUCUUCUAGCUAUCCUAUGCAGGGAUUUAGGAAUGAAGAGGCGAAGUCACAAGCUCAGUUAAAUUUUGAAGCAGAACAACAAGCUUGGUUUGAAGAUUUUAUGAAGACGCAGCAAGAGAAGAUGGUUCAUCCACAAUCAGCUAUACUUUCAGAUGUAGAUCAAGAACAUGUGAUUUCAGAAAAUGAAGAAAAAGUUGCUCAGAUUUGGGAAGAAGAGAGAUCCGAGAUUAAAGAAGAUGAUGCACUAGAAGACAAGACACACAAUGAGCAAGAGCUGGACUAUGGAAGUAGCAAAGAUAUAGUGGCUGCCAAUCUUGAAGAUAUUGAAGAUAAAGAGGCUAAUGGAGUGGAAAAUGAAGAUAAUGAGGAGAUUCAAGUCGACAUGUCAAUUAUCAUUCAGGAGUGUGAUGAAACAGGUUUAUCAAACCCAAUUAAUGACAUUCUUCCUUAUGAAUUCCCUGCUACUACCUUGCAUUGCUUGAUACCAUCACUUAAGGUAGAACUGAAUUGUGACUUUCUUAAAUUUGAUGAUGCAUACUUUGUUAGUGACAAUACUGAAAUUCAUGAUGAUGACUCAUGUUAAUCACAUGCUAAAAUUCUGCUUAUGGAUGCAUGCUCUAAGAUUACUCGCGUCUCACAUGUGAAUAUUUAUCAUUCUCACCUUGUGCUUUAUUGCUACGCUUACAUCAUUGGUUUUUCAAUUGAUGACUUAGAGGGUGUUGGUCCUUUGACCUCUCCUAGGUGCUAUUCAUAUGAUAUAACUGAGUUUAAUGUGAUAUAUCAUCAUCGCCAUGUUUUUUAUCGAUAUGUGUAUACCAUUGGAUACUCCAUUGAUAAUUUGGAGGGGGUUGACCCUGUCUCUUUUAGUUCUUGUUGUGAGUGUAUUUCAGGCAUAUCAUAGGUGCUUUGUCAGCUUGGAAAAGUCCAGAUUCGAGUUGACAUUCCUUGGGACCCUGGUGGAUAUGAGGUUUUGAGAUGGUGUAGCAAAGAGAGUUGUAUCACACUUGAAAUAAAAUGCUGAAGCAGAUGGGAUCGAGGGAAUCAAGAAGAGUUGUCGAAUUCAGAAGAUGAGUGGCUUGGUCUGAAGGGAAGGUGUAGUCUGAUAAAAAUAUAGUUCAAAUCAUCUAAAACACCAGGUGACUUGUUUCCAGUAUAUGAGAUCAUGUUUCUUCCAUUGCCUGCAACUUUUCUCAAACUGAUCACUGCUAUUCGUUAUUGGUCACAUCAUUGCUUUCUUGUUGAAGCUGUUCUUCUUUGAGAAUCACAUAACAUUGCUUUAACUUGUUGUUUUCUUACCGAAAAAAAAAGCUGCAUUAAUUUUUUUUGUGAUUGCUAUACUCCAGGAUCUUCAUAAUGAAAAGAUACAUCAACUUUCAGUUUAAACACAACAGCUAUUGGUGCAUGUUCUUAUUGCAGUAAUCUAAAGUAUACUUCAGAUUUGUUUUAUUUUCUGCUCUCAUUCCUAAUAAAUUAAGAUUCUGACAAAUCUGAAUGUCUCCUUAUGCUAGUUAGUCCUGUAUCGACUCAAUUGAUUAGUUGCUAAGUAGUAGCUAUGAUCCCGGGAUCUGUAGCUUGUGAAAACAGUGCUAUUGAUCAUAGGUUUCUUUACAAAAUCUUUUAUCCUGUUGCAAUUUGAGCUUUCAAUAAGUGGCUUGUCCACAAGUCUUUAAAUCUCUGAAUAAGUGGCUCAGCCACAGUGUUAUCCUUGCAAAUAAGUGACUAUGUCACAAUUUGUUUCAAUAAGUGGCAGUCCACAUUGCCUUGCUCUGUUUGAAUAAGUGACUCUGUCACAUCUUUAGUUUGGAAUAAGUGGUGCAAGCACCACAAUUUAUUGCAUUUCUUGUUUCGUUUUUAUUUUUGAAAAACCAUGAACCGUGACUCGUUACUGGACUGCUGUCAUAGUUUGAAUUCAGUUUGCAAAAUCUUCUUUAUUAGUUAGGGGAGCCUAAAAUAGUUUAAAUCUUCAGUAUACUUUGAGUACAAUAAUCAGAACAUACAGCUUUACCUGUUAAGUUUAAACUGAAGUUUCUUGGGUCCUUUUUAUUGUGACGGAAAUCCUAGUUGGAGUGAUUACAUACCUCGUUUCAUGCUGUUGUCUCAUUUGCGAUCUGUUUCCUCAUUUGCAUAUCUCUUUGCUUGAGGACAAGCAAAAGUUUAAGUGUGGGGGUGUGAUAAGCAUCAUAUUUGCACUAUUUUCUGGCCAUAAUUAUAUCUGAAAUCUUGUGUUUUGAACUCUGAAUUAUUCUAAAAUGCCAAGAAUUUAUACAAAUACUUGUAAUAUGUGGCAAAAAUUACAUUGUAGCUUUUCUUUUGCAGUUAAGUGCGAAAAGGCACAUACUCUUCUCAUUUUGGACGAGCUGCUGAUGCACCUAUACACCGAAGGACUUGAGCAUAAGGAAAGAGGAAAGAAAGGGCUGAAGUGAAGAAAAAAAAGACCAACUUGCAAAAGAAGAAGAAAGGAGAAGGGCCUGGAUGUAAAAAUGUCAAAGGGAUUAAACCCUAACUCCUGCUCUCGAUCCCCUUGAGCCUGGCACUUCCCCUUUCCCCUAUCUCCUGCUGCACCACCGGCCGCCGCCGCAGCCAGGCUAGCGUGGCGGUGCACCACCGAGCUAGCUGCAGCCCCUUCCCGAUAUCCACUACUGCUCAUCCUCCAUACCGCCUCUGCCAACAGCGGGCUGCACGAAUCCUCUCCAUCAACACCUGUUGCUCCCCACUCACCGAAGAAAUCAACAGCCAAGGAACGCGAGCACGACGACCACCUGCAACAUCCUCCCCUUCUCCAAGUGCUGCUGCCCUCUCCUUUGGUUAAAUCCCCACCGAACUCUCUCUCUCUCUCUCUCUCUCUCCUACUUGUUGCUUGCUGUUUGUGUGUAUAAGAACUAAGAAAAAACAUGCUGUUGAUCUUUGGAAAGUUAGUUGAGCCUUGCAUUGUGUUAAACUCUCUCUUUAGCUUCUGGCCGAUGUGUGCACUUAAUUAUUGUUCUAUGUUAUAAGACUCGUAACCUGUUUGUUCAUAUGUCAGGGAAGAUCUUUGAGUUGUUCUACUCUAAUAUUUGUGAAUGUGGCUGUGUGUAUACUUGUUGAUGUGUUUCGUGCAAUUUUCUAUCCCUAUCUAAAAACUUGCUUCUUCCCAGUCUUAUAUGUUUGCUAGUGAAAUUACUUUCUGUCAAUAUUGUUCUUUGUCUUUGCUUCUGCCCCUGUCUUUGAUGUAUGCUUGUCUUAGUGUUUUAGAUUCUAAAGUAAAUUGAAAAUACCAAAAAAAAAUAUUGGUGUCAUUCUGUACCUUGAAUCCCAUAAUUGUUUCUAUCCCUAUCUUGGAUCAUUGCUUGUGAUGUUUCGUGGUAGAUGAUCUUGUCUUGCUUUUGAGUGGGAAACCUUCUCUUUGUUUGUUUUAAAUUUCAAAAUCCUUUCUUGUGAUCUAGCUUUAACCGAACAUUGUUGUCGCUGCCUAGUCCCUGUGGAGAACAUCGACAAAAACUACUAUAUUUGCAUUGAUCAAUAUUGU
rnacentral:lncRNA from 1 species